UUUCCAGUUUCCACCAGGACUUGAGUCCGAUCGUCUUCGAAGUGGGUGUGCUUCGAUUUCGACUCUAUUUCUCUCUCCUUUUGAUCAUUUCCAUCAGAAAUCGUUGAAAUUGGUAAGAGAAUUUGUCUUUUCUCUUGUUUUUUGUUUUUGUUUUUCUUUAAAGAGCUUUGAAUUGAACCAUUAGCGUGUGUGAUUUGUUUCUCACUUUCUUCUUGGGUGAAACUUGACAUGAAUGAAACCUGUAAUUUAAGGUUCUUCUUCGACGGGGACCCGACCAAGUGAUUGCAAUCCUUUUGGUAAUCUUGUUGGUAGAUGACUGAAACCCUAGAUUUGUAGUUAAAAGGAUUAUAAUUUGACCUUGUAAUUGAUUUGGAGGAGAGGGAGCAUUAUAGCUACAAUCUCCAGAAGCAUAGCUUAGGGUUGAUUUUGUAUCUUUUUCUUUCGUGAUGGGUGCAGCGAGGGACGACAUUAUGGAUCUUGAUUUAAAUCUCGGCCCUUCUGAUCCGCUAUCCCCCAAUUUCGACCCGGAAUUAGGGCCUCUAUCGGCUGAACUAGGAGACAUUGGAGAACGUAUUCAACAACUCGAAGCAGUCACAGUCAGGGCUAGGCAUCGUUGGAGGUGGAGACAAGGGCUCCCACCUGAGGCGAGGAAUAUACCGGUGGAAAUGAUCGUCAGCUCCGGUAGCACGGGCGAACUGCAGAUUGGGGAGGGCAGUAUAGCUGCGGAGGAUAGAUCCACUGAUAGCAAUAAAACAUGCAAAGGGAAUGCAAGUGAUAUACUAGCCAAGGCGUUGGGGAAGAGCAACGAUCCAGAGAAGGGUAGUGGUAGUGGUAGAGAAGAUGGUGGUAGUUUCUUUGAGUGCAACAUAUGCUUAGACAUAGCUAAGAAACCUGUCCUCACUUGCUGUGGUCAUUUAUUCUGUUGGCCCUGUCUUUAUCAGUGGUUACACAUUCACUCCGAUAGCAAGGAAUGCCCCGUGUGCAAGGGAGAGGUCACAGAUAUGAACAUUACGCCGAUUUACGGCCGUGGAAAUGAUACCCAUGAGCCGGAGAAGGAAGACGAGGAAGGAUUGAAGAUCCCUCCAAGACCCCAUGCACGGCGGGUAGAAAGCUUAAGGCAGUGGAUUCAUAGGGCUGCUCAAAUUGAGGAUUCUUACUUUGCUCAGAUGAUUAGGCGACUUGGAAGUAGGUUUGAUGUGAUGGGGGAAUGGACUCCACCUCAAGAUCUUGAUGCUGCUGAUGAGAUGCCAGAUAUGCCUCCUAAUUCAUUAUCCAAUAGGAUUAUAACUCCAGGAAUCCAACCACCAGAUAGACCUAAUUCAUUAUCCAUUCUAGCUCAAAUGCGGAGGCAGGGUUCAGGCCGAUAUUCACUUUUAGAACGGAGUUUUGGUAGACCAGAGCCAGAGAUAAUUAAUUUAACACAAGGCUCUAGUGGCAGCUCUGAGGCAGAUGGCAUCCGGCAACUUCCAUCCCUGCGAUCUGUGAGGUCACAAUCACGAAGGGCUGCUUCAGUUUCACACCUUUCCUCUGCUGAAAGACUGGUCCAGGCAUAUUUUCUUGGACACCCCAUGGGAAGAAACAAUACCCAUUCUCCACUAGUUGAGGACAGAGAUUCUGUUUCCAGCAUCGCUGCUGUUAUACAGUCAGAAAACCAGACAUUGGAUAACACUGCAGAAAUAGAGUCGAUGAUUUCACUUUCCUCUUCAUCCUCCAGAAGAAGAGCUGAUGCUUCUAGGGCUUCAUAUGUGGACAGUGGAAUUCCACGUGCAACUAGACGGAGAAGGUUCAAUUGAUAUUUAUUUUUAUAUCUAAUAAUUGUCAUUCAGAGAAUUUCUGAGAAUUUAAGGCUUCUUCCAGAAGUUAGUCAGCUUACAUUUUUACCAGCAGCUGUCUCACUGAAGUUUCACAGCGAGCCAAGGUUGUGCUGAUGCUGAGAGACUCUAGACUUUUGCUUUUCUCCUCAAAGGAGAGAGUUUGCUUGUUUCUAUUUGUAGACAACUCAAUUUGUACUGUAGAAGCAGGCAAAAUUAUGGUGAGUGUUGUACAUCCAUUUGCAAGAUUCAUGCUUCAUGCAUUUGUUUCUAAUGGUAUACUUGGUUUCCAUGGUCAAAAUAUUUUGUGCAAA